AUGGCUGGGCGUCGUAACUUUUUCUCCUUCAAUAUAUGGCACACAUGCUUGUUCACAUUCGAGGAGGAAAAGAGCAGUCAAAUAGAUCUCACAUCUCCUCGCGAUAUGCUUGGGUAUGAUGUAUACUCCCUCUGUAACCUACAUCGGGAGACUCGGUUUGGACACGGAUUUUGCCCGGGGACAGUUUUUGUGGAAGGGAGGGUAUCGUCCGCAUGCUCUUUUAUCCUUCUCCGUCGUCCCUUGUUCACCCCGGCCGGGGCGGUGGAUCUCGGGGUUAUCACAGCUCGCUGGCUAGCUCGGCGACAGCUUUCCCUCUCCCCGGACGGACCAUGUCAUGAUCCGCUUGAAAACCGACGGAGCUGGACGCCGCCACUCUCCUCUCACCGGUCGUCCUGCGCCGCCCCGCGCCGCCUCCGCUCGUCCAGCCACCUGACGCCGACGCGCCACUCCGGCAGCCGGCCCUCUACUCCUCCCCACUCCCCAGGCUCCGCCGCCCGUUCACCCAACGCCGACGCCCCACUCCAGCAGCUCGCCGACCAGCCCCGCAAGGUCCUAAGUCCACAAAUCCUCCUCCUGUCUUCUCCUCAUUUGCCAUCAAGCUCCCCACGGAUGGGCUGGUGCUCCCCGUCCACUCCCCGGCAGCUGCUAUCCACUGUCGCACUCUUUGCCUUCGGCGCGGGGCUCCUCACCUACGGCGCACACCUCUCCUACGUCCACAUCGAGCCCCAGCGCGAGCGCACGCUCGCCCGCGAUCAGUGUCGGGCUUGUGAUUGCGGAGAUGGAGAUGAACACCCGCGCCGACCAGGAUGCCACUAUCGUGUGGGCCACUGUUGUGCAGGCCUGCAGCAUGUUCUACGACACCCCUGCAAUGCUCGGUACGUGCUCCGACUUUGGUUUCCCUGUUGUUUCCUAUUGGUGCUAGUAGCUCAUAUGGAACUUGGUGAUAUGUUUGCAGACAUUGGUGAAAUUGUUCGUGCAAAGUUUGAUUUCGACGCUGUGGGACACUUAUGUUUGCAGACACUGGUGAAAUUGUUGGUGAAAUUGUUCGUGCAAGCGCUGUGGGACACUACACACAGGGCUGAGGUGCUGAGCUUGACCGCGAAUACCGAUCUGAGACACGCUGCGUCUUUCGCUUCUACUGACGGACAAGAUCCAAGGCACAAGAGUGACAAUGUUUCGAGGACCUGA
rnacentral:rRNA from 1 species